rnacentral:misc_RNA from 1 species
CCGAGCUCUGGGGCCUCAAAACCCCGACUCCCACCCAGUGUUGACUUUAUGAUGGUUGCUUUGGCGGGCCGGUGGCCCAGGCCGCCGCCGGCUCCGGCUGGAGAGUGCCCGCCAGAGGGUUUUCAAACUCUGUUCAAACCGUGGAAUUUCUGAGUCUUGUAUGAAUUGGAAUCA